rnacentral:rRNA from 1 species
AUGGCUCGGGACGAACGCUGGCGGCGUGCUUAACACAUGCAAGUCGAACGGAACUGUUAUGGAAUGUUUCGGACAGGAAGUUCAGUUAGUGGCGAACGGGUGAGUAACGCGUGAGGAACCUGCCUUUCAGAGGGGGACAACAGUUGGAAACGACUGCUAAUACCGCAUAAUACAUUUUCUUCGCAUGAAGGAGAUGUCAAAGAUUAUAUCGCUGAAAGAUGGCCUCGCGUCUGAUUAGAUAGUUGGUGGGGUAACGGCCUACCAAGUCGACGAUCAGUAGCCGGACUGAGAGGUUGAACGGCCACAUUGGGACUGAGAUACGGCCCAGACUCCUACGGGAGGCAGCAGUGGGGAAUAUUGGGCAAUGGGCGCCAAGCCUGACCCAGCAACGCCGCGUGAAGGAAGAAGGCUUUCGGGUUGUAAACUUCUUUUACCAGGGACGAAGGAUGUGACGGUACCUGGAGAAAAAGCCACGGCUAACUACGUGCCAGCCGCCGC